rnacentral:rRNA from 1 species
UACAGGGGAUGCAAGCGUUAUCCGGAAUGAUUGGGCGUAAAGCGUCUGUAGGUGAUUUAAAAAGUCUAUUGUUAAAACCCAAGGCUUAACCUUGGACCAGCAAUGGAAACUGCUAGAUCAGAGUACGGUAAGGGUAGAUGGAAUUACCGGUGUAACGGUGAAAUGUGCAGAUAUCGGUAAGAACACCAACGGCGAAAGCAAUCUACUAGGCCAAAACUGACACUGAGAGACGAAAGCUAAGGGAGCGACCAGG